UUCCUCUCUAAGCACCAAGUUAACAAAGAUCAGUAAAGGAAUUAUUAUGCAUUUCUUCAUUUAAGCCAGACUUCCAGUUUUUCCAGCUGUUGUAAGUUUAUUUUUCUUGGCAAUAAAAAUCACUCCUCCCACUAAGUUGAUGCUCAGAACAGACUCUGAAUAGUGGACAAGUUUGCAGAGCAGUGAAUAACUACACCACAUACAAAGGAAUGCAGGUCGUCUCGCAGCCUCUCACUCAAACCAGCGAGAACUUCUUGUCUACAUCACCCUUCCACUGGCAAAUAACAUUGAGGAGCAAGAAUCAAGGCAGUCAACAUUCAACUAAUGCUUUGCAUGAGCUUCCUGAUAGGCACUCCUGUACAGCACAGAACUGGACAAACUGGCCUUACAUAUGCACAAUAUGAGUUUAAC
rnacentral:lncRNA from 1 species